UACAGGGGGUGCAAACGUUGCUCGGAAUCAUUGGGCGUAAAGCGCACGUAGGCGGUUCGUUAUGUCGGAUGUGAAAGCCCCGGGCUUAACCUGGGAAUGGCCGUCGAAACUGGCGAACUGGAGUCCGGCAGGGGAGACUGGAAUUCCUGGUGUAGCGGUGAAAUGCGCAGAUAUCGGGAGGAACACCGGUGGCGAAGGCGGUUCUCUGGGCCUGUACUGACGCUGAGGAGCGAAAGCGUGGGGAGCGAACAGG
rnacentral:rRNA from 1 species